rnacentral:tmRNA from 1 species
GGGGGCGCACAGGCUUCGACGGGAGUGGACAGCGUCCGAUGAGACGAGCCGAGUUUGCUGGAGACUCGCUAAACGCCGGCAGUCUAUAAGACAUGCCAACGAUAACGAAAUGGCUAUGGCCGCUUAAAUAAAAGCAGCCCAUCGGCCCGGGAAGCCCACGUCCCGGCCAACCGGUGUCAUCAAGUGGGAUCACCCUUCGGAACCUGGCUCCGGGUUUAGUAGGGGAAAUUUAACGGGCUAGUCCUCCGUCGCCGCUCCGAUGCGGCGGACAAGGCGAAACUAAAUCGGAUGCGACGCUCGUACAAUCUCACGGACGACGCACUUGCGGACGCGGGUUCGAAUCCCGCCGCCUCCACUG